rnacentral:rRNA from 1 species
AUUGAACGCUGGCGGCAGGCUUAACACAUGCAAGUCGAGCGGGGUGAUGGUGCUUGCACUAUCACUUAGCGGCGGACGGGUGAGUAAUGCUUAGGAAUCUGCCUAUUAGUGGGGGACAACAUCUCGAAAGGGAUGCUAAUACCGCAUACGUCCUACGGGAGAAAGCAGGGGAUCACUUGUGACCUUGCGCUAAUAGAUGAGCCUAAGUCGGAUUAGCUAGUUGGUGGGGUAAAGGCCUACCAAGGCGACGAUCUGUAGCGGGUCUGAGAGGGUGAUCCGCCCCAAUUGGACUGAGACACGGCCCAGACUCCUACGGGAGGCAGCAGUGGGGAAUAUUGGACAAUGGGGGGAACCCUGAUCCAGCCAUGCCGCGUGUGUGAAGAAGGCCUUAUGGUUGUAAAGCACUUUAAGCGAGGAGGAGGCUCUUUUGGUUAAUACCCAAGAUGAGUGGACGUUACUCGCAGAAUAAGCACCGGCUAACUCUGUGCCAGCCGCCGCUGUAA